UACGAAGGGGGCUAGCGUUGUUCGGAAUUACUGGGCGUAAAGCGCACGUAGGCGGAUUUGUAAGUCAGGGGUGAAAUCCCGGGGCUCAACCUCGGAACUGCCUUUGAUACUGCAAGUCUCGAGUCCGAUAGAGGUGAGUGGAAUUCCUAGUGUAGAGGUGAAAUUCGUAGAUAUUAGGAAGAACACCAGUGGCGAAGGCGGCUCACUGGAUCGGUACUGACGCUGAGGUGCGAAAGCUAGGGGAGCAAACAGG
rnacentral:rRNA from 1 species